rnacentral:lncRNA from 1 species
AAACAUAUUAUCUACUGGUCUUGUUUUGUUUAUACCAUAUGAGCAUGGCAUCCUCAGGUGUUGAAGGAGGAGACAAGUACCGUUCUUAUUUGAGUGGAGAAGGAGAAAAGAACACCAAGUGGAAGUUUGGUGCCCCUCCUAGCUAUGAUAUUGUGAAUAAGCUCUUCGAAGAAGGCAGAACCAAGGUCUCUUUCUCUCUCUCUCUCUCUCUCUCUCUCUCUCUCUCUCUCUGCUAGCUAAUAUCUAUUAAAUUUGUGUGGUGUGUUUUUAAUUCUGGAUGGAACUAUGUAUAUUCAGAUAUGGCCACCUGGGUCACUAGAACAUGAGGUACAGAACCUUGUGAAGACAUGGGAGAUGGAGCUUUUCCAUAAGGCCAACCUUGAUGAUUUCAAGACACUUGAUCCCAAUAAGUACACUUUCAGUCUAAAUGGUAAUAGUGAUAUUUAACUAGUACUAAUUAAUUAAUUAAGCAUUGAAAUAAUCAAUCAUUAAUCAACAAAUAUCAGGAAGGAAAGGCAUAACCCUGGAAGAAAUAGGCAAACUUGGAGGGGGCUACAACCCUUUGCUUCAGACCUCACUGCCUGAGAAUCUGAGAGGAUAUAAUCCUGAUAAGGAAACAGCAGAGUCAUCUCAUAAGGCUUUCACAACAACAUUCCCUCGUGGGUUUGCCUUGGAGGUCCUUCAAGUCUAUUCUGGGCCACCAGAGAUUGUGUACAAAUUCAGGCACUGGGGUUACAUGGAGGGGCCUUUCCAGGGCCAUGCCCCAACUGGAGAAUUGGUUGAAGUCUAUGGAAUGUCCAUUUUUACGGUACUUUGUCCAUUUCUUUUAAGUUUUAAUUAAUUAAUUAAUUAAUUAAUUGUUUUUCCCAAGUUUAUGUAUUACUAAUUCCUUUUCGGUAAGUUGUAACCCUCCACGUUACCCUCUAUGUGGCCCAAAUAGGUGGAUGAGCACAACAAAAUUGUGAAGGUGGAGUUCUUUUACGACCCUGGACAACUGCUUGGAGGUCUUUUGAAGGGUGAAAAAUUGGGUACUUCUUCCCAGGAGACAGCCUCAAGCUGCCCUGUCCUUAGGAGUACAGGGUAGUUCAUAAAACUGCUUCCUAAAACUUAAUUGUAGGCUUCUUAUAUACACAGGCAUAUACGUUUAGCCGAUCAAAUUCCCGUAGAUCGGCUCUUUGUUAUAUGUUUAUGUGUGCUAUUCCACAUAUGAACUGAAUAAUGUUAUCAAUUGCGAUAUAUAAAUCUCUCCAACAAUUAAUAGC